rnacentral:misc_RNA from 1 species
AAUUUUUAUAACUUUUUAGAGCAUGAAAGAUUAGAAAGUCUGAGCUCCGCCAUGCCUGUUUCCAAUUCUUCCUGCAUCUCUUUAGUUCUUUGCUUCCUUGGCCCAAGUUGACCUUCUCCUAGCUUGUCUAUUUUUGGAUUCUUUGGGUGCUGUUCAAUCCAGCUGGGUGCGUUGCUUGCCCUUUCAAUUGGUUGAGUUUCUUUGUGUCUGUGCCCCUCUAGUGAUCUGCAGUCUCCCUUCUGAUAGCCAAUGGUUUCAUCUGAAGAAUGGUGUUGAGCCAAAAGCAUGGUUGCCGGAUCUAGGGAUUGCGUAUCUUUUGCUUGGUUUAAUUAGGUUUUCUUGAUGUCAGGCUCUCGGCCUUUUUCUCUCUCAGCCUGCGGUUCAAAGUGCAAUCGGGUGAUUUUGGCUAGUGAACUUUGGG